AUGGCGUGUAAGUCAUCACUGCGGGCCAUUUGGAUGUGGAGGAGGAAAUGCUUGAUCCAUACUGCGGGAUCUGUUGUGCCAUCGUAUGAUUCAAUAUUUAUAGGUUUGAAACCUUCUGGGAUUUGA
rnacentral:rRNA from 1 species